UGCAGUCGUACGAGGAUCGUCGGGUUAGCAAUAAUUCGGCGGUUCUAGUGGCGCACGGGUGAGUAACACGUGGGUAACCCACCCUUGAGACCGGGAUACCCUCUCGAAAGGGAGGCUAAUACUGGAUACGUUCCCUGGGACGCAAGAUCUGGGGAGGAAAGGUGGCGAAAGCUGCCGCUCUUGGAGGGGCUCGCGGCCUAUCAGCUAGUUGGUGAGGUAACGGCUCACCAAGGCUAUGACGGGUAGCUGGUCUGAGAGGACGACCAGCCACACGGGAACUGAGACACGGUCCCGACUCCUACGGGAGGCAGCAGUGGGGAAUUUUCCGCAAUGGGCGAAAGCCUGACGGAGUGACGCCGCGUGGGGGACGAAGGCCUUCGGGUCGUAAACCCCUGUCAGAGGGAAAGAAGGGUGUCGGCGUGAAUAGCGCCGGCAUUUGACGGUACCUUCAGAGGAAGCCCCGGCCAACUCUGUGCCAGCAGCCGCGGUAAGACAGAGGGGGCAAGCGUUGCUCGGAAUCACUGGGCGUAAAGGGCGCGUAGGCGGGAUGGCAAGUCGGUCGUGAAAUCCUUCGGCUCAACCGAAGAACGUCGGCCGAUACUGCUGUUCUUGAGGGUUGCAGAGGAGAUUGGAAUUCCCGGUGUAGCGGUGAAAUGUGUAGAGAUCGGGAAGAACACCGGUGGCGAAGGCGGGUCUCUGGGCAUUUCCUGACGCUGAGGCGCGAAAGCGUGGGGAGCAAACGGGAUUAGAUACCCCGGUAGUCCACGCUGUAAACGAUGACGACUAGGUGUGGGGGGGGUUAGUCCUUUCCGUGCCGCAGCUAACGCAUUAAGUCGUCCGCCUGGGGAGUACGGCCGCAAGGUUGAAACUCAAAGGAAUUGACGGGGGCCCGCACAAGCGGUGGAGCAUGUGGUUCAAUUCGAUGCAGAGCGAAGAACCUUUACCUGGGCUUGACAUGCUGGAAGUAGAAACCCGAAAGGGGGAGGCCUGUUAAGUC
rnacentral:rRNA from 1 species